UCUCUCGCUUUCGCUUUCGCGUUCGUUCUCCUCCUUCACGAACUUUCUUCUCGCUGCAGCUUUUCCCGUCGCUCCUCGCCGCAGCGAAGCUCCAUUUCGCCUCCUCCGUUCAUCCUCUCUCGCCUCGCAUCCUCCCGAUCGUCCCUUCCUCCCCGUCGCAUCUGCAAUAUCGCCUCGAGCCUCGACCCUCACGCCUGCGAGAAACCUAGCGGCCUCCGCUUGCCGCUCCGAGCUCGCAAUGACGACCGGACGAAGACGCCAUUGGUGUUCGGAGGGAGCUUGCUUUUGAAGCUAUCGGCUCUCGAUUUCGAUCUCCGAUGAAAUAACUGUUUGAGGAGAGCUUGCUAUUUGGAGCCAUCGGCUUGGUUUGGAUCUCUGGAGCUUUGACUUCCACUCCAUCUCGUGGUUACCCAUUUUGACUUCUAAAACUGGGCACAUAUUCUUUAAGUUGAAACGGAGGUCUUGUGGCUUCCAGCCCUGGUCCUAAAACUGGAUAAAGGCAGGGGGCAGCAAUAGGGGUCUUACGUUGGGACACCUUUAAAUCUCUUUUCUAGCUGAUACGGGCGAGAUCCUAGAUAGCAAACAGGAAGAGGAUGCUGUCGAUGAAAAUUCUAUGCUUAUCUACAGAUCAGUUGUCCUUUGACAUAAUUGUUCUGGAUAGAUCAUGCUACACAAGAUCCUCUCAAGUAUUGGUAAGAUUACAAAGGUACAUCCAAUCAACGGGUCGUCGGGGUCAAUUUGACACAGGAGGUUGUUAACGUCCGUUGAUUAUAGCUUGAUAAUGAUGUAUGGCGGAGAAGUUGAAGAUAAGUACAUCCUUUUGUCUUUACAUAUGGUAUCUGAACUCAGUCUUGUGGAUUUUCUGUAUGCUCUUGUAUUCUUGCCUAUUCUCAGAGAAUAUGACAUGAAAGAAAAAGAUUCAAAAUAAAGUUUCUGAGUUUGUUCCCUUUGAAUUUUUGCUCAUAAUUCCUCAGAACACUGCAUUCAAGGACAUGCAUUCGUAGUUUAAUAGGUGUGGUUGAUUUCUUACUAUUGCAAAUCAGCUGUGAAGAGGACUAAAUACCAGUGUUUUCGGAACUGGACCUAUAUUGCCCAUGUGCUCGGUUCAACUGGUGGAACUGCUAGUUAAAUCUUUCUAUAUAUUAAAAAAGUUGCCAACGUGUCAUAUGUGGAAGAUUAUCUCUGUGGUUAAAGGCACUUCAAAUUAGUAUGUUUGGUCCUUUCUUAGGACACUGCAAUUUCUUUUAAUGCUUUGGGUUAUCAGUAAUCCAUAAGUAUUCUUGUCUAACCUUAAGAAAGUAAAGAGUGAUCUGUGCCCUACUGGCAACAACUAGCAUAUGUGCUUGAGGUUACUGUUUCAAACCUGAAGCAUGCUGCCUUUUGCUUUUUUAAACAAAAAACCAGUUCUGACCCAGUCCUCACCCAGUUCAAUUGACGUGGGUUGACAUUGGUUUAGUCCAGUCCAGUCCGUUACUGGACCAUUAGCUGUUUUUCUAGCAUGAACUAUAAGAGACAAUGAAAUGGUUCCUCCCUGCUCUAACCAGUUGAACAGGCCAGACCGGCCUGGUUUUAAAAUACUGCUGGAAAGAGUUUAGAUGCAUGUUUGCAUUUGCUAAUGGGUGAGGGUUAAUGAUUACUGUAUGGAAUAAUCAGUUACGUCAUUUGAAAUAGGGAGAACCUAUGCCUAAAAUUGUGCUGUAGUGAGGAUGGCAGGAACCAUUUGCCAUUUGUAGAAUGGAUAGCUAAUUGAAACUGUGCCUAAAUUUGUGCUGUACUUGCUAAUUGAAACCAUAGAGAAUCUUUGGGAAUAAAAUUUUUGGUCUUGUUGAGGACUUGGAUGAUUAUUAAAGGACUGGAUGAUCAUCGAACUCUUAGUGUCAGCUGGUGCCUGAUGUCAAGAUAUUUGGUUUACAGAUUGCAUAUAGAAACCAGAAUCAGUGGAUUGCAAUGUUUUGGUGCUUUGAAGAGUAAAUGCUCUCAAGAGAGAUAACACAACACCGUAAUGACCUCUAUACAGAGUGGAGUGAAUGUCCUUGGAAUGACAUAAGUUGGUGGCACUUUUUGCAUUUCUGGACUCUUCCAAUCCAAGCAAUCAUCCCUUUACUUCCCAAAUUAUGAAAAAGUUAAUCUGUGUGGUAAUAUAACAAACAAAUCAAUUAUCAAAUGCUGAAUGAAUUUCUAAAUUCAUGCACCUUCAUGAGAGGUAGUUAAGGCUAGCUUUCUCCUCACUUCUCAUCUUAUGAAAAGAUCCACUAGGCUUUGGGUACUUUUAGUGUACAACCUUGGUUGGUGCAAUUACGAGGGAGAGCAUAUGUGCAGCAGGGAUUAAGAGAGGAUGAAUUCAUUCUUUUCUUUCCUUUGUAAAGAGUUAAGAGGUUAUCUUCCAGAUGGUUUCACAUCUGUGCCUUGGAGAUAGACAGCAAAUACUUGUCUGUCAUCAAGUCGAUAAUGGCAACAAUUGAUCUAUGGGAAGAGUUCAACAGUAUUAGGAAUAGUCACUAUGAAAGAGAGCUUAUAUUUAUGGUGCAGCAUUAGAGCAAAACUUAAUUAGGUGUGCCAUGUCCAGUGCAAAUUCCAGCACUUCCAGUCACCACCGACAAAACUAAGAAUGAAGGAAGAGUAUGCAUAACAGGCAACAUGUGCAUUGGGCACAUUUUACUAGGAUGUAUUAACCUCUUUGGACUGUAUUGAAGGGAAUAUGCUUCCACAUAGCAACUUCUGUUAAGCCUUUAGCAGCUCCAUUAUUGCACUUCGGGGAUGCAAUCUGUAGAUGGGAGUCAGUCUCCUAACAUCUUGUUUGCCUAAUGCUGACAAUGGAGUCAUGGCUGGCUAAAUCUACUCUUCCUUGCCUUUUUUUCUGAGUAAUCUUCACCUUACACGUGUUUAGUUCAUGCCUACUUUCGCUCAUCAACAAACAACAUUUCAAGAAAACCACAUAAAUUUAACCAACCUGAAAUGAGAUCACUGUUGCAAUGUGACAAACAUCUUAUCUUGAACUGCCAAUAAUGAUUAUCUCUUUUUCAUAUUCUUUUCUGCAAUGUAAUGUAUGCCUUCAUCUAUGCUAUCCUUGAAAUAUGAGGGCUAACCUGAGCUGCAAUUGAUGAUUAUGUGUUUAAAUGUUCUUCCCAUGCUAUAUCUUUCAAUAGACUACAUGAUGGACCUAGUCAUUAGAUCAUCAACAUCGAUGACUUAAGUAUCUGUUGGAAAUCUAAUAUCUUGGGUGGGAAGUCCAAAGAGCCGAGGAUUUGGAUACCAGUUUUCUCAAAGUCUGUAAAAAGGUUUCUAGUGGAAAUACAACAGCUCAAAGUAGAGUCAAUGCCAAGCCUUAUUGUUCUGACCGCAUUUAGGUAGAAAUCAUAACUUUUUUUAUGUUUUUACUAAGAUUCUACAAGCUGUAGGCAAAGGAAGGAGGUGGAAUACCAAGUUGAUGGAAGUCCUCUUUCCACAGCCUGUGGGCAACUGCCAAUUUCUUGAAUGGGAACUCUUUACUUGUAACCAUCAUGCAGAGCAAGAUAUGCGACUUUAAAUAUCUUUAAAGCUUAGAUCUAUGUGUGGAAAGCAAGGGGAUGAAGGCAAUUCAUAUUCACUUUGGUUAGUUUAUUAUGGUCUGGUCAUGGCUUGGGACAAGGGCUAUUUUAGUGUUAUCCAAUGGUAGCCGCAGAUUCUGUACUAAGCUAUGUUCAGAGGGCAAUGCAGCCAACUUGUUUUUGGACAAAGUCAAAACAAACUCGGGUUGUUUAUUUGUGUUACAUUCAUAAGGCAACCAAUGUGCAGGUGUUGAGUUAGUAUGGUGUUGCAUCUGGUCAUGAUCGUUGAAAUGUCCAGACUCUGGCGGCUGUUUUACGUUCUUCUAUUGGGAGACAGGUGCUCAUGGUGGAGGUAUCUUUUGCUUGCUUUUAGAAGAGAUCGCUCUUUGAUGGUGUUCUAUAUAUGUUUUCAUUCCUGUUAUGUGACAAUUCCAUCCAUUAAAAUUUCACCUUUACAAAAGCAAUGGGAAGUUGUUUGAAUCACGCACUGGAAAGAAAUGUCAAGGCACAGCUACCUUCUAGUUAGAACAACGUUUGAGUGGCCUUUUAACCAGAAGAAGCUUUUUGGCUUGUUCAAGGAAGGAUAGGAGGGUGGAAAAUGAAAUGGGGUGUAAAUUAUGGGGAAAAUUUGAAUUUGUUGGGAAGCAACUAUGAGAUUGGUAUUAUGAUUGUGUCAAAAAUAUGGAUCUAUGAAAUAUGGUUUGUUGAGCAAGACAUGUUCUGUUUGAAGUGGCACGUCAUUCCACCAAGGGUUGAGGAUCAGCUGUAUUCUAGUUCUGGCCAUGAAACAGUCAAUUCUACAUGGGAAUUGAACAGAUUGCGUUUAAUAGCUGUAGAGCUAGCUGCUGUCAUGAUUUACAUUAAGUAUAAAGUUUAAACAAAAAAAUUCACCAACUCUGAUGAGUAGUUCUCAUUAAACACUUAACGCAUGAACACCAGCAGUGGUUGCUUUGUAAAAAUGGCUACUAAAGAGUGGCGAAAUAAGUAAAAAUCUAUCCAUAGAAGUUUGUGGUGAAAAUUCAAGCACCUUGGAUUUGAUUGAUGUCUUGUCAAGUUAUUUGCAAGACAUUGAUCAAAAUGAGAAUUCUCUUAACCUCAAGAAAGGGUGAGAAAAUUGUGGUAAUGAGAUCAUGGGAACAAACAACAGGUCAUCAACAUACAGUUGGUUCGAGUUUGAAGGGCAGUUGUAUAUGUAAAUGAUAUGUAUUUACCUUAUCUUGAAGUGGAGAUUCUAAUUCUCUUCUCUCAAUUGAUUUCCCCUACUAAACAGAUGUAAGAGUUUAGAAAGGUGAAGUGAAAUUUUUGUAUUGGGCUAUAUAUUCUUCCAUCGCUACUUGGAUGAAUUUUCCUUUAUUAGGAAAAAUCCCUAUGAUUCUUUGAGAAGGACAGAACAUUCUAAGUAAACUUACGUUUGUAGAAGAUAUUGCUCUACUAAAUGUGAACAAGCUAGCGGACGUGAGCUAUGUUGAAGACUGGAUGGACCUUGCAAUUUGUGAAUUAGUUUUUAGGCGAGGAAUAUGUUCAUAUUCGGAAGGAUCUUUGUGAAUGGUGAACAAAUAGAGGUGUGAUCGCCAAAAAGAGUUCGGAUUGACCAACAGAAGGUGAAUGAACUAGAGGACAAGAAGACAUAAGUAAACUUAGAUAAACCUUGCUAAUAGAUGGACCUUGCCAAUGGUCAACAAACUAGAGGGCAUUUCAUCAUGUAAGAGUUUAAAUGGAGGAGAACAAGAUUGGGAAAUAAAAGCUUGGAUGGAUCUCAGUGCAGACGGAGCUCUUGCUAUAGACGGAGUUAUAGUUCUACCAUAAGCCUCUAUUUUCCUGGAGGGAAGAUCCGGACUUUAGAUCAAUUUGAUUUAUAUUUAAAUGGUGUUUUGCAGCUAGCCUUUGGAUUCCUCAAAAUGUGGAUUUUCAAAGAUUAGAACAAUUGACCAUAUCUGGGCAGGCAACCUAGAAGGAUAGAAUGUUGGCAAAGCAGAACCGACUAUUUUGAGAAACUGUUGCUAUGGAGCUACAGAGUGACAUUUUGUGACUGCAGAUAGUAGAAUUAAUGGUUACUCAUGGGAUUUAUAUUUCAAGCGGUCAGUUGAGAUUUCAUGGCUAUAAAUUCAACCCAAGAGAAGUAACACAAUUGGGGGAAUGAACAAAACUAGUUUAUACUCAAGCGCUCAUUCUCUUGUUGUCCUUGUGUGUAGAAGUAGUGUAAAUAUGAUUGUAUUCCUUUGGAGAAGUCUGAGCGUCUGUAAUAGAAUAAGAGAAGCGUUAAGUGUAGGAUUGUUUGUGUAUGUAGAAGGAGAUCUAUAUAUAGAAGGAAGUAUCUUCAAAUGUUGUGACAUCUCAAGGAUAUAGUGAAUUCCAGCCUCCAUUUGCUGUUUAGAACUAGGAGAAUGGAGUUGGUCAAGUGAAUAGGCUGGACCCUAUAAAUUUGAUACGCAUGUCUACUAUUACCUUUAUAAUAUAUUUUUAGAAGAUAUCUGCAUA